rnacentral:rRNA from 1 species
UUAAGCGACUAAGCGUACACGGUGGAUGCCCUGGCAGUCAGAGGCGAUGAAGGACGUGCUAAUCUGCGAAAAGCGUCGGUAAGGUGAUAUGAACCGUUAUAACCGGCGAUGUCCGAAUGGGGAAACCCAGUGCAAUUCGUUGCACUAUCGUUAACUGAAUACAUAGGUUAACGAGGCGAACCGGGGGAACUGAAACAUCUAAGUACCCCGAGGAAAAGAAAUCAACCGAGAUUCCCCCAGUAGCGGCGAGCGAACGGGGAGCAGCCCAGAGUCUGAAUCAGCUUGUGUGUUAGUGGAACGGUCUGGAAAGUCCGACGGUACAGGGUGAUAGUCCCGUACACCAAAAUGCACAGGUUGUGAACUCGAAGAGUAGGGCGGGACACGUGGUAUCCUGUCUGAAUAUGGGGGGACCAUCCUCCAAGGCUAAAUACUCCUGACUGACCGAUAGUGAACCAGUACCGUGAGGGAAAGGCGAAAAGAACCCCGGCGAGGGGAGUGAAAAGAACCUGAAACCGUGUACGUACAAGCAGUGGGAGCACCUUCGGGUGUGACUGCGUACCUUUUGUAUAAUGGGUCAGCGACUUAUAUUCUGUAGCAAGGUUAACCGUAUAGGGGAGCCGCAGGGAAACCGAGUCUUAACUGGGCGUUAAGUUGCAGGGUAUAGACCCGAAACCCGGUGAUCUAGCCAUGGGCAGGUUGAAGGUUGGGUAACACUAACUGGAGGACCGAACCGACUAAUGUUGAAAAAUUAGCGGAUGACUUGUGGCUGGGGGUGAAAGGCCAAUCAAACCGGGAGAUAGCUGGUUCUCCCCGAAAGCUAUUUAGGUAGCGCCUCGUGAACUCAUCUUCGGGGGUAGAGCACUGUUUCGGCUAGGGGGUCAUCCCGACUUACCAACCCGAUGCAAACUACGAAUACCGAAGAAUGUUAUCACGGGAGACACACGGCGGGUGCUAACGUCCGUCGUGAAGAGGGAAACAACCCAGACCGCCAGCUAAGGUCCCAAAGUCAUGGUUAAGUGGGAAACGAUGUGGGAAGGCACAGACAGCCAGGAUGUUGGCUUAGAAGCAGCCAUCAUUUAAAGAAAGCGUAAUAGCUCACUGGUCGAGUCGGCCUGCGCGGAAGAUGUAACGGGGCUAAACCAUGCACCGAAGCUGCGGCAGCGACACUAUGUGUUGUUGGGUAGGGGAGCGUUCUGUAAGCCUGCGAAGGUGUGCUGUGAGGCAUGCUGGAGGUAUCAGAAGUGCGAAUGCUGACAUAAGUAACGAUAAAGCGGGUGAAAAGCCCGCUCGCCGGAAGACCAAGGGUUCCUGUCCAACGUUAAUCGGGGCAGGGUGAGUCGACCCCUAAGGCGAGGCCGAAAGGCGUAGUCGAUGGGAAACAGGUUAAUAUUCCUGUACUUGGUGUUACUGCGAAGGGGGGACGGAGAAGGCUAUGUUAGCCGGGCGACGGUUGUCCCGGUUUAAGCAUGUAGGCUGAUUAUCCAGGCAAAUCCGGAUAAUCAAGGCUGAGGUGUGAUGACGAGGCACUACGGUGCUGAAGUAACAAAUGCCCUGCUUCCAGGAAAAGCCUCUAAGCAUCAGGUAACAUUAAAUCGUACCCCAAACCGACACAGGUGGUCAGGUAGAGAAUACCAAGGCGCUUGAGAGAACUCGGGUGAAGGAACUAGGCAAAAUGGUGCCGUAACUUCGGGAGAAGGCACGCUGGUGUGUAGGUGAAGCCCCUGCGGGUGGAGCUGAGACCAGUCGAAGAUACCAGCUGGCUGCAACUGUUUAUUAAAAACACAGCACUGUGCAAACACGAAAGUGGACGUAUACGGUGUGACGCCUGCCCGGUGCCGGAAGGUUAAUUGAUGGGGUUAUCCGUAAGGAGAAGCUCUUGAUCGAAGCCCCGGUAAACGGCGGCCGUAACUAUAACGGUCCUAAGGUAGCGAAAUUCCUUGUCGGGUAAGUUCCGACCUGCACGAAUGGCGUAAUGAUGGCCAGGCUGUCUCCACCCGAGACUCAGUGAAAUUGAACUCGCUGUGAAGAUGCAGUGUACCCGCGGCAAGACGGAAAGACCCCGUGAACCUUUACUAUAGCUUGACACUGAACAUUGAGCCUUGAUGUGUAGGAUAGGUGGGAGGCUUUGAAGCGUGGACGCCAGUCUGCGUGGAGCCAACCUUGAAAUACCACCCUUUAAUGUUUGAUGUUCUAACGUUGGCCCCUUACCGGGGUUGCGGACAGUGUCUGGUGGGUAGUUUGACUGGGGCGGUCUCCUCCCAAAGCGUAACGGAGGAGCACGAAGGUUAGCUAAUCCUGGUCGGACAUCAGGAGGUUAGUGCAAUGGCAUAAGCUAGCUUGACUGCGAGCGUGACGGCGCGAGCAGGUGCGAAAGCAGGUCAUAGUGAUCCGGUGGUUCUGAAUGGAAGGGCCAUCGCUCAACGGAUAAAAGGUACUCCGGGGAUAACAGGCUGAUACCGCCCAAGAGUUCAUAUCGACGGCGGUGUUUGGCACCUCGAUGUCGGCUCAUCACAUCCUGGGGCUGAAGUAGGUCCCAAGGGUAUGGCUGUUCGCCAUUUAAAGUGGUACGCGAGCUGGGUUUAGAACGUCGUGAGACAGUUCGGUCCCUAUCUGCCGUGGGCGCUGGAGAAUUGAGGGGGGCUGCUCCUAGUACGAGAGGACCGGAGUGGACGCAUCACUGGUGUUCGGGUUGUCAUGCCAAUGGCACUGCCCGGUAGCUAAAUGCGGAAGAGAUAAGUGCUGAAAGCAUCUAAGCACGAAACUUGCCCCGAGAUGAGUUCUCCCUGAGACUUUAAGUCUCCUGAAGGAACGUUAAAGACGAUGACGUUGAUAGGCCGGGUGUGUAAGCGCAGCGAUGCGUUGAGCUAACCGGUACUAAUGAACCGUGAGGCUUAACCUU